rnacentral:rRNA from 1 species
CAGUCGCCGCGGUAAUACGUAGGGUGCAAGCGUUAAUCGGAAUUACUGGGCGUAAAGCGUGCGCAGGCGGUUCCGCAAGUCAGAUGUGAAAUCCCCGGGCUCAACCUGGGAACUGCAUUUGAAACUACGGGGCUAGAGUGUGUCAGAGGGGGGUGGAAUUCCACGUGUAGCAGUGAAAUGCGUAGAGAUGUGGAGGGACACCAAUGGCGAAGGCAGCCCCCUGGGAUGACACUGACGCUCAUGCACGAAAGCGUGGGGAGCAAAUGGGAUUAGAUACCCGGGUAGUCCCUGUCUCUUAUAC